UACGUAGGGUGCAAGCGUUGUCCGGAAUUAUUGGGCGUAAAGAGCCCGUAGGCGGUUUGUCGCGUCUGCUGUGAAAACCCGAGGCUCAACCUCGGGCCUGCAGUGGGUACGGGCAAACUAGAGUGCGGUAGGGGAGAAUGGAAUUCCUGGUGUAGCGGUGGAAUGCGCAGAUAUCAGGAGGAACACCGAUGGCGAAGGCAGUUCUCUGGUACGUGACUGACGCUGAGACGCGAAAGCGUGGGGAGCAAACAGG
rnacentral:rRNA from 1 species